ensembl:lncRNA
CUGUAAGCAACUUCUGAGCAGUUCAGAGAAGAAUUCAGGAAAACAAACCGAGUGGUUUUUCAGCUGGAGAUGAUGCUGCGAUGUCAUUCUCGUAUUGUUCCGAGGAAAGAGCUGCAGAUUUUAAGUGAAUGGAUCCAGGAGGUGUUAAUGAACUCUAGACAUACGCUUUCUCAGUGCGGUCUCCGCUGAGACCCAGAUGACCAGGAUUUCACCUCUUUCCUCACCAGAAUGAACUCUCCUAUUCUGAAUAUAAAAACGUUUAUGAACGGAGCCCGAAAGGUAAAUUCUUCAACUUUCUCUAGAAGGGGCUGGCACAGAAUGAAGUUCCCGUUAUUGAUUAAGCCCAGGUGGUCUACUCACACAGCAAACAGAUAUUUUACAAAGCUUUAUUACGCCUCAUUAGGAUUCACUCCUUUAGAAGAUUUCUAAUUAUAUUGUCUAAUAAAACUAAACCUUCGAAGUGAUUUGCAUAUUAUAUGAAGAAAUCUCAUACAACAAACUCACAAUGGAUUCAAUUAACAUAAUAGCUAAUUAUAUAUCCCAUCAGCCUUUCGAGCGGCUCAGCAUUCAUGUUGCUCCUGUUUUAGCCUAGAGCAAAGGAGGUUUGAACAUUCGCUUCUAAAUAUUGACUUUUAACUAAUAUCAAAAACGAUUGGAACGCUUUUGUGGAUGAAAAGACAAUGAUUAAACUACAGGAAACAUUUUAGAAGACUUACUUUAAAAGUCUUUGAAACAAUUUCUAUUUCCACGUCAAGCCUCCCCUGUUACCCACCCCGCGCCCGGCUGUACCCUUACAAAAUGACCAGAUAUGGCGAAUUGUUUUGACAAACGGCUGAUUGACAGCUUGGUUAUUUGGAAACUGCCCACUUCCUGCAGUUACAUUUUGUAUAUUUCUCACUGCGCUUUGUAACGCGGUUGUAUUCUCGGCCGGUCGCGGUAUCUAUCAAGGAAGAAAUUUAGGGCUAGAUUAACAGAGACACAGUAAUGAACAGGCGUUCGGGCGCCCUAUAAUUGACUGUUAUUACGGUGUCGUCACAGCGCUCUGUAAUUAAUUCCCUUGUUUUGUUUCGAAGUCGGAUGAGAUAUUCUGGAAAAGCAAAACUGGAUGCCAAAGUUUCCUCAGACCUCAGGAAAAGGCCGGCAGAAACAAAGCCUGCUUUUUUUUUUUCCCCUCUUCCUCUCUCUCUUUAAAGAUUUCAGAUGCGCUGAAGGUUCUCCCAAUUUCGAAACGCCCAGUGGAAAAAGAAGGGACGUAGGGAUACGAUUUUGCCACUCAGUAGAAAACUUACAAUAAAUUGCCUCCCUGUCAAGCUCCUCGCCAAAUGUAAUGAGAAAUCUGCUCGGCAUCAUAUUUCUAUCUUUACAAAAGAUAGCAGAUAAAGUUUGUUGCAGAGUAAAUGGUUUUCUCCGUUACAAUGAUGGCUGCCUUUUCAUUCAUAUUUUAAUGAGGUUAGUAUCUCUGAGACAGCUUUUUCGGGGUGGAGGCCCAUGUCUCCGGUACGAUUACAAUAGGAGUUGCUUUAUUGACAAGUACUAUUCAAAAUCUUCACAGUAUAGAAAGAAAGGCUUUAGUUUUCCACCACUUGUCCAAAUACUUAUUCCUCUCUUACUAUUAAAACACUUUCAGAAAGAGCACUCUCGACUGUGUAGAGCCCCGCACGGCCGGGCAGAGCGCGGCUCAGCCCCAACGCCUUUCAGUCCCAAUUGCAUUUAUUUCUGCAGAAAACUCGCUGGGCAAAGCCCAACAAACAGCCAGCAGAAAUCAGGAGGUUGCACUGGCAGCGGGUUUACAAGCAGCACGCCGACGGAAUAACAGUCGCUAACGAUUGGAGUCUGCCUCCCAACAAACAGGGAGAGAGAAAGUUUACUCAAGGAUCCCACAGCCAACGGAAACCUCAGCAAAAAGAAAUGAAAAAUGGGCAAACCCAACUGCUGGCAAGUCGUGCUCCAAGGUUUUAUUAGUCCCCUUAUUUACACUAUCACUAAAGCAUUUUUCAUGAUGGCAUCAGGGGAUGCAUCCCAAAACUAAAUCUGGGGGUAAAUGCAAGAUGAGCUCUGCCUGAGCCCUAUCAUGUAGCAAUUGGUGCAAAAACUUUCUCGUGCCCCCAAAAGGAAGCACACAUAGCUCCAGCAUUUCUAUAAAUAGGCACUGUGAGGGCUCAUUCAAUUCUUUUUUUUCAUACGUUUGAGGCUUUUUUCGAAGGGUUUGGCACUUCAUUUCCCCGCUCAUGGUGAUGUGCACGCCCUGUGUUCGGGCAUGUGUGGGCCUUGGCCAAGAGUGGAUGGGAAGCCAAGGAAGGGCUGAGGGCUAUGCUGCACACCUGAAUAUCACUUGGAAUACUGACAUGGAAAACCCUUUAUUUUCCAGGAGUUAAAGGGUGAAACGCUUCUUCCUAUGGUACAGGGUUUCUCUAUGCGUAAAGAACCGAGGGCACUAAAAGUGCCUUCCCCCCUCAGCUCACUUAAGUUACUGUUGCAGCAGAAGCUUAGAGGGGGGAUUAAAUUUAGUGCAAGGCAUUGCUACAGCAAUCAGAUUGCAAAAAAAAAAAAAAGAAGAAGAAAAAAAAAAUCCCUCCCGGAGCAACACUGACCUCAAUAGAAGUGAUGCCAGGGCUGAAAUUAGAUUGUGAGGUUGAGUCUCACCUUCUGUCGUAAGGGCUGCAUGGCCUUCCUUCUGCAUUUGCCGGGGCUCUCACUUUGCUAAACUCACACCCCGAUGGGGCGCCGGCCCCAUUCAUCCCCACGGUGGCCGGACGGUGCCGCGCGGUUCGCAGCACAACUUGGAGCACAGCUCCCACCCGCAGCACCCGGCCCUCCUCGCCCGGGGAAUGUGGUGUUUUCCUGCACAAAGUGUUUGCAUCCCAGCGGAUGAAACAGACUUUUAAUAGCAAAAUGUGGUUUGUGGGAUCUUUACUGGAAAAUAGGUUACUCUGCCCUACAAAUGGAUUUGGGAGUGAAAGACUGAAAUAUUCUUUUUGUUUGUUUCCUUUUUUUAUCCUAUUUUUUCUUUCCUUUUUGCUUUGCUUCAUCUCCAUUUUCCUUUUUUUUUUCUUUUUCUCUUUUUUCUCUCUUUUUUCUCUUAUUUCUCUUUCUUUCUUUUUUCUUUUCUUCUUCCUUCCUUCCUUCCUUCCUUCCUUCCUACCUCCCUUCCUUCCUUCUCUUUUUUCUCCCUUUUCCACAAAAUCAUAGAAUCACAAAUAUUGUUCUCUUUCUCUUUCUCUUACUCAUUUCCUUUUAUUCUCCUUUUCCCUUUUUUCUUUUCUUUUUAUUGUUUUCCUUCUUUCUUUCUCUUUUUCUCUUUCAUUCUUUCCCUUUCUUUCUUUCCCUUCCUCUUUUCUUUCUUUCUUUCUUUCUUUCUUUCUUUCUUUCUUUCUCUUUCUUUCUUUCUUUCUUUCUUUCUUUCUUUCUUUCUUUCUUUCUUUCUUUCUCUUUCUUUCUUUCUUUCUUUCUUUCUUUCUUUCUUUCUUUCUUUCUUUCUUUCUUUCUUUCUUUCCCUUCCUUCCUUCCUUCCUUCCAUCCUUCCUCUCUCUCUCUCUCUCUUCCCUUCCUUCCUUCAUCUUUCCUUCCUUCUUUCAUUCCUUCCUUCCUUCCUUCCUUCUUUUCUCUCUUUCUCUUUCAAAUUUUUCCUCCUUUUUUCCUCUUUUUUUCCCUUUUUGUUUCUUUUUCUUUUCUUUCUUUCUUUUUUUUUUUUUACCCCUCUUCUAUUUGCUUCACAGUCUUUUUUUUUCUCUUUUCCCAGCUCUCCUAAGAAGCCGCCUCCACAUCCCGAAUGGGACGGGGGGAGAGAGGGGUUUCAUAAUGCUUCGAGAAGAAGACGAAGAGAGGAAAAGAAAAAAAAAAACCCUAAGCUUUAAUUUUAAUUCUCCUGCCUUUAUUUAUCUGAUUUGUGGCCAGAUGGUGGUGAAGCAAGGAAACCCUUUGUGCCCACGAAGCACACAUGUGAAAGUGCUUCUGUAAUGUAAUCAUUGAGACCGGAAGGGUUCAUACUGUGUCUGAAAAGAGACAAUGGAGCCGGGAUAUAUCAACAUCGCCGAAAUCGAGUUCAUUCGCGAUGCAGGCCCUUUGACUGCGGUUGUCAUGAAAACUUCCUGCUUUGAUCAGCAGAGGGUGGCGAGGGGGCCGGGCGCGCCGUGCACUUGGCGGCCGGUCCGCCCCCUCCGCG